rnacentral:rRNA from 1 species
UCCCAGACUCCUACGGGAGGCAGCAGUGGGGAAUAUUGGGCAAUGGGCGCAAGCCUGACCCAGCAACGCCGCGUGAAGGAAGAAGGCUUUCGGGUUGUAAACUUCUUUUAUGAGGGACGAAAGAAAUGACGGUACCUCAUGAAUAAGCCACGGCUAACUACGUGCCAGCAGCCGCGGUAAUACGUAGGUGGCAAGCGUUGUUCGGAAUAACUGGGCGUAAAGGAUGCGUAGGCGGUUAAACAAGUUAUAUGUUAAAUAUAUAGGCUUAACCUGUAGAAAGCAUAUAAAACUGUUUAACUAGAGUGCAGGAGAGGGAAGUGGAAUUCCUAGUGUAGCGGUGAAAUGCGUAGAGAUUAGGAAGAACACCAGUGGCGAAGGCGACGUACUGGACUGUAACUGACGCUGAGGCAUGAGAGCAUGGGGAGCAAACAGGAUUAGAUACCCUAGUAAGG